UACGGGGGGGGUAAGCGUUGUUCGGAAUUACUGGGCGUAAAGGGCUCGUAGGCGGCCAACUAAGUCAGACGUGAAAUCCCUCAGCUUAACUGGGGAACUGCGUCUGAUACUGGAUGGCUUGGAUUUGGGAGAGGGAUGCGGAAUUCCAGGUGUAGCGGUGAAAUGCGUAGAUAUCUGGAGGAACACCGGUGGCGAAGGCGACAUCCUGGACCAAUAUUGACGCUGAGGAGCGAAAGCCAGGGGAGCAAACGGG
rnacentral:rRNA from 1 species